UACGGAGGGUGCAAGCGUUAAUCGGAAUUACUGGGCGUAAAGCGCGCGCAGGCGGUUGGUUAAGUGAGCUGUGAAAUCUCCCGGCCUAACUGGGAGGGGUCGGCUCAGACUGGUUGACUUGAGGACAGCAGAGGUGGGUGGAAUUCCUGGUGUAGUGGUGAAAUGCGUAGAGAUCAGGAGGAACACCGGUGGCGAAGGCGGCCCACUGGGCUGUCACUGACGCUGAGGCGCGAAAGCUAGGGGAGCGAACGGG
rnacentral:rRNA from 1 species